GACGAACGCUGGCGGCGUGCUUAACACAUGCAAGUCGAACGGAAAGGCCCCUUUGGGGGUACUCGAGUGGCGAACGGGUGAGUAACACGUGAGUAACCUGCCCUUGACUUCGGGAUAACUUCAGGAAACUGGGGCUAAUACCGGAUAGGAAUCCUUGCUGCAUGGUGGGGGUUGGAAAGCUUCGGCGGUUUUCGAUGGACUCGCGGCUUAUCAGCUUGUUGGUGGGGUAGUGGCUUACCAAGGCUUUGACGGGUAGCCGGCCUGAGAGGGCGACCGGCCACAUUGGGACUGAGAUACGGCCCAGACUCCUACGGGAGGCAGCAGUGGGGAAUAUUGCACAAUGGGCGGAAGCCUGAUGCAGCAACGCCGCGUGCGGGAUGACGGCCUUCGGGUUGUAAACCGCUUUCAGCAGGGGCGAAGCUUGUGGUGACGGUACCUGCAGAAGAAGCACCGGCUAACUACGUG
rnacentral:rRNA from 1 species